rnacentral:misc_RNA from 1 species
GAUGAAGAACGCAGCGAAAUGCGAUAAGUAAUGCGAAUUGCAGAAUUCCGUGAGUCAUCGAAUCUUUGAACGCACAUUGCGCCCCCCGGUAUUCCGGGGGGCAUGCCUGUUCGAGCGUCAUUGUCAACCCUCAAGCUCGGCUUGCUGUUGGGACCCCGUCGUUGCUCCAACGGCGGACCCGAAAGACAAUGGCAGAGUCUGCGGGACCCUGGAUGCAGCGAGCUUCUGGCACGCGUCUGGACGGUCUCUGGGCUUGGCCUCCACCAAUCGUCAACCUGUGAUUGACCUCGGAUCAGGUAGGGAUACCCGCUGAACUUAAGCAUAUCAAUAAGCGGAGGA